AAAAUUACACCAACUGGCCACUCUUCGCUGAACAGUUGCCCUUUUGUCAAAGAUCUCUGGCGCUGUCCCAUCCUUAAACGGCCUAAACCAAUCCAAAUUGCCAUGCCCCUUGGCCCUCUUCUAGGGCCAGAGCAGCCUCAAUAAUUAAAUUAUUAUUCACCUCUCACUCACUACAAAAUAACAUGUUCCCAGUUAGAAAAGCAAUGGCGGGCUUAUCGAACUCGCUUCAACUCAAGAACGGACUCGCUCUCUGGUGUCCUCGCUCUUCUUCUUUGACUCGUCCUCACCCUUCCUCUUCCAUCCGAUUCAAUAGCUUCCACAGAAACUUCGUUGUUGCCUCCUCCUCUUCUUUUUCUAACGACAAUCGCGAAUUUGUGAUCGUUGGAGGGGGCAAUGCUGCUGGAUAUGCAGCAAGGACUUUCGUCGAACACGGAAUGGCCGAUGGCAGGCUCUGUAUUGUAUCCAAAGAGGCAUAUGCACCGUAUGAGAGACCGGCUUUGACAAAAGGCUACUUGUUUCCCCUAGACAAGAAACCAGCUCGAUUACCCGGUUUUCAUACUUGUGUCGGAUCUGGUGGUGAAAGGCAAACUCCUGAAUGGUAUAAAGAGAAAGGGAUCGAGAUGAUUUAUGAGGAUCCAGUAACGACUAUUAAUAUAGAAAAGCAAACUCUAACCACAAAUUCUGGCAAAUUGCUGAAGUAUGGGUCUCUUAUAAUUGCUACCGGAUGUACAGCCUCAAGAUUUCCAGAGAAAAUCGGAGGAAACCUUCCCGGUGUUCAUUACAUUCGGGAUAUUGCAGAUGCUGAUUCACUAAUCUCAUCUUUGGAGAAGGCAAAGAAGGUGGUUGUUGUUGGAGGUGGUUAUAUUGGGAUGGAGGUUGCUGCUGCUGCUGUUGGCUGGAAACUUGAUACUACGAUCAUUUUCCCAGAGAAUCAUCUUUUGCAAAGAUUAUUCACUCCUUCCCUUGCUCAAAGAUAUGAAGAGCUCUACAAAGAGAAUGGUGUCAAAUUUUUAAAGGGUGCUUCUAUCAAAAACUUAGAAGCUGGUUCUAAUGGACAGGUAGCUGCUGUUAAACUUGGAGAUGGAUCCACCAUAGAAGCAGACACGAUAAUUAUUGGUAUUGGGGCAAAACCUGCGGUUAGUUCCUUUGAAAUGGUGGGAUUAAAUACCACUGUUGGUGGCAUACAGGUUGAUGGUCUAUUCCGGACAAGCAUACCUGGAAUUUUUGCAGUUGGAGAUGUUGCUGCAUUCCCCCUUAAGAUGUAUGACCGCAUGGCAAGAGUUGAACAUGUUGAUCAUGCUCGUCGAUCUGCACAGCAUUGUGUUAAGGCAUUGCUUAGUGCUCAAACUCACACGUAUGAUUAUCUGCCAUAUUUUUACUCAAGGGUUUUUGAGUAUGAAGGGAGCCCCAAGAAAGUUUGGUGGCAGUUUUUUGGGGACAAUGCUGGAGAGACCGUUGAGAUUGGGAAUUUUGAUCCGAAAAUUGCUACUUUCUGGAUAGAUUCUGGUAAACUGAAAGGAGUUCUUCUUGAAAGUGGAAGUGCUGAGGAAUUUAAACUCCUUCCUGAACUUGCAAGGAGCCAGCCCUCCAUUGACAAAGCCAAGCUUCAGAAAGCAUCUUCGGUUGAGGAGGCCCUAGAAAUUGCUAAAGCCUCCCUACUAGUUGGGCAGAAACCUUAGUUGCACGCAGAACCUCUCUGAGAAGUGCUGAUCUCUGCACAUAACCAUCUUACAGUUACCUUCUUCAAUAUCCUUAAAGCAAGGGAAUCAUUCCUCCUAAUAAUAUCUCGGAACCUUUCCCAUUAUUUCAUGAACUAAUUGUUUGAAACUAAGCAUGACGGAAAGGGACUUUCCUGUUAACAUCCUGAUGUUUCAGACCAGGUAGUGGAAAUGAAUGCGGCUCCCAAGCAUUGCUGUUCGGCUUAAAUUGGUGGCCAUUGCCGGAUUUGGGCUGGCUACGCCACCUCCUUCGUACCUCCUAAAUCUGUACUCUCGGAAGCCUAUCCUUGUCUUCUUCCUGCUUAGAUGUUACCCAUGAUUUUUGGCUCAUCACAAGCAUCACACACCCACACGAUGCCGCAGUAUAUAAAAAGGAGAAACUUACUAUUA